UGGCGGAUCCAUUUUGGGUUGUACC
rnacentral:miRNA from 1 species